rnacentral:lncRNA from 1 species
UCACCUCGUGGCGUAGGGGAGAGGUAACACCGAGAAGAGGCAGCGGCGGUGGCGCCAAGACGAUUGGUGCCAAACAGGGCAGAACGCAACUCAGCUCUGGGUUUGUGAAUAGCACAAUGGAAGAAGCUGGACUUUGUGGGUUAAGAGAGAAAGCAGAUAUGUUGUGUAACUCUGAAUCACAUGAUAUUCUUCAACAUCAAGACUCAAAUUGCAGUGCCACAAGUAAUAAACAUUUAUUGGAAGAUGAAGAAGGCCGUGACUUUAUAACAAAGAACAGGAGUUGGGUGAGCCCAGUGCACUGCACACAAGAGUCAAGAAGGGAGCUUCCUGAGCAAGAAGUAGCCCCUCCGUCUGGUCAGCAAGCUUUACAAUGCAACAGGAACAAAGAAAAAGUCUUAGAGAGACAAGGUCUUUCCCUGUCACCCAGGCUGGAGCGCGGUGGUACAUUCAUGGGUCAUGGCAGCCUUAAACUCCCUGAGCUCGUGAUCCUGUCUCUUCAGACUCUAGAGUAGCUGGGGCUACAGGCGUACACCACCACACAUGGCUAAUUUUUUAUUUUUCUUUUGUUGUAGAGAUGGGCUGUCAUUCUCUUGCCCAGGCUGGUCUUGGUAUACUGUCCUGUAGCAGUAUAUUUUGGCUACCUGUACUGGCAUUGGCUUUUCCAAGUGUCAAGAUUACAGGAAAAGAAGUUUUAUUAUUGAUGCAAGCCCUAAACACUCUUUCGACUCCAGAGGAGAAGCUGGCAGCUCUCUGUAAGAAAUAUGCUGAUCUUGGAAAUUCACCUCUUCUAUAGAAGAGUUUGUUUUGAACUAUACGAUUUGAAACAAAAUUCUUUUUUUGGAGACUAUGGAAACAUUCUCAACAGGGAAACCCUACUAGACUUUGUAAAGCAAAUAAUGGAAAAGAUACAGAACUUUUUGAAGAAUCAUGGGAAAUUUUUAUAAUUAAAUAAAUGCUAAAAUUCUGUUUUGUGAAACAUUUAUGGGAAUUAUCACUGACAGUUUUUGUACACUUUCAAAUAGUGUUAAAGCAGCAACUCCAUGUUGUAAAUGCACAAAACAAAUAUUUAGUUAAUAAUCAACUCCAAGAAUAAAGCUGUAACAAUAAU